rnacentral:rRNA from 1 species
AUUGAACGCUGGCGGCAUGCCUUACACAUGCAAGUCGAACGGUAACAGGUCUUCGGAUGCUGACGAGUGGCGAACGGGUGAGUAAUACAUCGGAACGCGCCCGAGAGUGGGGGAUAACGAGGCGAAAGCUUUGCUAAUACCGCAUACGAUCUCAGGAUGAAAGCAGGGGACCGCAAGGCCUUGCGCUCACGGAGCGGCCGAUGGCAGAUUAGGUAGUUGUGGGAUAAAAGCUUACCAAGCCGACGAUCUGUAGCUGGUCUGAGGAGGAC